AUUGAACGCUGGCGGCAGGCCUAACACAUGCAAGUCGAGCGAGUGGCGGACGGGUGAGUAAUGUAUGGGGAACUGCCUGAUAGAGGGGGAUAACUACUGGAAACGGUGGCUAAUACCGCAUACUAUCGGAUGAACCCAUAUGGGAUUAGCUAGUGGGUGGGGUAAAGGCUCACCUAGGCGACGAUCUCUAGCUGGUCUGAGAGGAUGACCAGCCACACUGGGACUGAGACACGGUCCAGACUCCUACGGGAGGCAGCAGUGGGGAAUAUUGCACAAUGGGCGCAAGCCUGAUGCAGCCAUGCCGCGUGUAUGAAGAAGGCCUUAGGGUUGUAAAGUACUUUCAGCGGGGAGGCGUUACCCGCAGAAGAAGCACCGGCUAACUCCGUGCCAGCAGCCGCGGUAAUUC
rnacentral:rRNA from 1 species